rnacentral:rRNA from 1 species
UAUACAGCGAAACUGCGAAUGGCUCAUUAUAUAAGUUAUCGUUUAUUUGAUAGUGCCUUACUACUUGGAUAACCGUGGUAAUUCUAGAGCUAAUACAUGCUAAAAACCCCGACUUCGGAAGGGGUGUAUUUAUUAGAUACAAAACCAAUGCCCUUCGGGGCUCUUUGGUGAUUCAUGAUAACUAUACGAAUCGCACGGCCUUGCGCCGGCGAUGGUUCAUUCAAAUUUCUUCCCUAUCAACUUUCGAUGUUUGGGUAUUGGCCAAACAUGGUUGCAACGGGUAGCGGAGGGUUAGGGCUCGACCCCGGAGAAGGAGCCUGAGAAACGGCUACUACAUCCAAGGAAGGCAGCAGGCGCGCAAAUUACCCAAUCCCGACUCGGGGAGGUAGUGACAAUAAAUACUGAUACAGGGCCCUUUCGGGCCUUGUAAUUGGAAUGAGUACAAUUUAAAUCCCUUAACGAGGAACAAUUGGAGGGCAAGUCUGGUGCCAGCAGCCGCGGUAAUUCCAGCUCCAAUAGCGUAUAU